rnacentral:rRNA from 1 species
CACGAACCGUACGAACGUUAUUCGGAAUUACUGGGCUUAAAGGGUUUGUAGGCGGCCUUAUAAGUCAGGUGUGAAAGCCCCCGGCUCAACCGGGGAACUGCGCUUGAAACCGAGUGGCUCGAGUCAGCUAGAGGUACACGGAACUUCCAGUGGAGCGGUGAAAUGUGUUGAUAUUGGAAGGAACACCGGAGGCGAAAGCGGUGUACUGGGGCUGGUCUGACGCUGAGGCACGAAAGCCAGGGGAGCGAACGGG